CAUGGCGUUACAAAGGGUAGCUAAAGCGUAAGCUUCUGGCGAAUCUCAAAAAAGCAGUCUCAGUUCGGAUUGAAGUCUGCAACUCGACUUCAUGAAGUUGGAAUCGCUAGUAAUCGCGAAUCAGCAUGUCGCGGUGAAUACGUUCUCGGGGUUUGUACACACCGCCCGUCAAACCACGAAAGUUGGCAAUACCCAAAGCCGGUGGCCUAACUUGAGCAAUCAAGAAGGAGCCGUCUAAGGUAGGGUUGAUGAUUGGGGUUAAGUCGUAACAAGGUAUCCCUACCGGAAGGUGGGGAUGGAUCACCUCCUUUCUAAGGAUAAAGUUAUCAUCUUCAGUUUUGAGAGACUUAAGAAAGUUUUUCAUUUUUUAAGAUUCGGGCCUAUAGCUCAGCUGGUUAGAGCACACGCCUGAUAAGCGUGAGGUCGGUGGUUCAAGUCCAUUUAGGCCCACCAAAUUAGG
rnacentral:misc_RNA from 1 species